GGAGAGGAUCAGGCAGUCGCUCGUCCCGUUGUGUGACGGGAGGAAAGUCCGGACUCCGCAGGGCAGGGUGGCCGCUAACGGCGGCCCCGAGCGAUCGGGGGAAAGUACAACAGAAAGGAGACGGCCCCGGUUUUCCGGGGAGUCGGUGAAACGGAAGGCGUUCGCCUCCGACGGUGCUGGUGACGGCGCCGUCCGGUAAACCCCACCCGGAGCAAGACAAACUAGAGGGUUGCGUGGCCCGCGCGUCCCUCGGGUACGUCGCUUGAGCCGGCGGGCAACCGCCGGUCGAGAGGAAUGACUGCCAUCCUCGUCUCGGCGAGGGAACAGAAUCCGGCUUAUCGAUCCUCUCCGGUC
rnacentral:RNase_P_RNA from 2 species